GCAGUCGUGGCCGAGUGGUUAAGGCGCUGGACUAGAAAUCCAUUGGGAUCUCCCCGCACAGGUUCGAAUCCUGUCGACUGCG
rnacentral:tRNA from 2 species